GGAAUAUUGGUCAAUGGACGAAAGUCUGAACCAGCCAUGCCGCGUGCAGGAUGACUGCCCUAUGGGUUGUAAACUGCUUUUAUACGGGAAUAAACCUCCGAACGUGUUCGGAGCUGAAGGUACCGUAAGAAUAAGGAUCGGCUAACUCCGUUCCAGCAGCCGCGGUAAUACGGAGGAUCCAAGCGUUAUCCGGAUUUAUUGGGUUGAAAGGGUCCGGAGGCGGGAUAUUAAGUCAGUGGUGAAAGCCUACAGCUUAACUGUAGAACUGCCAUUGAUACUGGUAUUCUUGAGUGUAGUUGAGGUGGGCGGAAUAAGUCAUGUAGCGGUGAAAUGCAUAGAUAUGACUUAGAACACCGAUUGCGAAGGCAGCUCACUAAACUACUACUGACGCUGAGGGACGAAAGCGUGGGGAGCGAA
rnacentral:rRNA from 1 species